AACCUCCGCAAUGUGAGAAAUCGCGACGGGGGGAUCCCAAGUGCCAUUCUUAACGGGAUGGCUUUUCUUAAGUGUAAAAAGCUUUUGGAAUAAGAGCUGGGCAAGACCGGUGCCAGCCGCCGCGGUAACACCGGCAGCUCUAGUGGUAGCUGUUUUUAUUGGGCCUAAAGCGUUCGUAGCCGGUUUGAUAAGUCACUGGCGAAAUCCUGUAGCUUAACUGUGGGAAUUGCUGGUGAUACUGUUGAACUUGAGGUCGGGAGAGGUUAGCGGUACUCCCAGGGUAGAGGUGAAAUUCUGUAAUCCUGGGAGGACCACCUGUGGCGAAGGCGGCUAACUGGAACGAACCUGACGGUGAGGGACGAAAGCUAGGGGCGCGAACCGGAUUAGAUACCCGGGUAGUCCUAGCCGUAAACGAUGCGGACUUGGUGUUGGGAUGGCUUUGAGCCGCUCCGGUGCGAGGAGCUGUAAGUCCGCCGCCUGGGAAGUACGGUCGCAAGACUGAAACUUAAAGGAAGU
rnacentral:rRNA from 1 species